UAUAAGCUCCGCAAUCAGGUGUUAAACCUCUCUUGGAAAUUUCAUCGAACAGUUGGCGUGCUUUGAUCUUGUUCCUAGCUACACCAGACCCAUGGAUCAAUGUAGUGAGUAUCUGUACCGUGAUAUCAAAAUCUAGACGAUCCAUAUCUUCAAAGAGCCUCAAAGCUUCCCCAAAGUUUCGUUUUUUGCAGAACCCAUCAAUUCUGAUACCGUAAGUGACGGAAUUUGGUUUAAA